UUUAUAGAUGGUGGCACUGAGGUUGGGGAGGUCAGGAGGCUCGGCCUUGGCCCCUCAGGGACAGAGCUGGUGUUCAGAGCCACAUCUGUCUGCCUCUGAAGACCAGGGUUCCUUGAGUCCCCCAGGUGAGUGUGUGAGACUCACAGUGGGCGCCUUGGGCACCCAGGAGGCACAGACGGGGAGGGAAGGGGUGAGAAGGAGAGUGGAGCUGAGGACAUGGGAGAGGUGCCAGCUUCCCUCUGCCUGGUGGAGCCGCCCACGCGGCUCUCUCUCCCUUCCCUUUCUCUGUUCCCAGCAUUCCCGGGCUUAGUGGUGUCCGGCUCAGGUCCUGAUUCACUCCUCUAAUGGCACAUGUCAAGCAUUUCUCCCUAGGUGCCCCUUGGGAAUGGAAGCCCCUAACUGAGGACAGUGAAAAUGCCAUCCUGUUCCUCCUGCCCCAGACAGUGGGUGGCAACUCAGCCAGGAGCUCAGGGAGGGGAUGCCCAGCAGGCCGUGGCUUCUCUCCCCCGUGUCCCAUGGCACUCAGGAGUGGCCUUUUCCAUAUCUCCAGGCCUCAGUUUCCCACCCAUUCAGUGAGGAUGCUGGACUUUUUUUUUUUUUUUUGAGACGGAGUCUCGCUCUGUCGCCCAGGCUGGAGUGCAGUGGCGUGAUCUCGGCUCACUGCAAGCCCCGCCUCCCGGGUUCACGCCAUUCUCCUGCCUCAGCCUCCCGAGUAGCUGGGACUACAGGCGCCCACCACCACGCCUGGCUAAUUUUUUGUAUUUUUAGUAGAGACGGGGUUUCACUGUUAGCCAGGAUGGUCUCAAUCUCCUGACCUCGUGAUCCGCCCGCCUCAGCCUCCCAAAGUGCUGGUAUUACAGGCGUGAGCUACUGCGCCCAGCCAUGGACCUUUUUUUUUUUUUAAAGCUACAAUAUCUUUCUCCCCCAAGGGAAAUGAUGUGCCCAGCAUAGUCAAGACAGACAAGAGGGAGCUCCCAUGGCUGAGUUGGGGCCUCAAGCCCUCCCUCUACUCCUCCUCAGAGACCAGGGGUGACAGAGACAGAUCUUGAAAACCUUGGGACAAGUGCCCUUGGGCUGCAGGGUUGGGAACGGGGGGAGCAUGGCCAGCCUAUCACCUGGUGUGCCCUCAGGUGAAGGAAUACGACUCCAUCUCCCGGCUGGACCAGUGGCUCACCACCAUGCUGCUGCGCAUCAAGAAGACCAUCCAGGGCGAUGAGGAGGACCUGCGCUAAGCCCCACCCAGCCCCCCAGUGCCCGUCUUCCUGUCCCAUCUGCUCAGAGAGAGGUGGGGCCGAGACUUGCUGGAGAGCUUCCCUCCUUUCCCAUCUGGGGAGUGCCGCGGGCCACAGUGGGCAGGUGGCACCGGGGGUCAGCAUGCAGGGGCGCCAGAGGCCCAGGCUGCUGGCCGGACAGUCACCCUCUGUUCUCGCUACAUCCCUUGCCCCCUGUCCAUUUAUUUAAGCCCCCAUAGGUGCCCUUCACCCCCAAAACCAGCUGUACAGAAUCUUUGAUACAGACCUAUUUGCUAGGGGUGCUGCCGGGGAUUUGGGGUCAGCAUCUGGCCCCCUAUCUCCUGACCAGCUGAGUCAUGAGGCCGGUUUCUCUCUCUCUCCCACUUUUGUCCCCCAGCCAAGCUCUAAAGCACAUGUAGCCGCUGAGACCUGCUGUUUCUGCUGGGGGCAGGCUCCUCUUCCCCCAGCCCCGGGAGCCUCCCCCAGCUUCCUGCAGCCCCGACCUCUCAGGUUAGACCCUGGGCCCUGGAGCUUAGGGGAUUCUCCCCACCCCAGCCCCACACCUGCUCCUUCCCUAAUGCUUUGAGGUUUUCUUGGUUGGAAGCUGCAGCUGGCCCAAGAAAGAAAAUAAAAAACAACACUUUUGCAUG
rnacentral:lncRNA from 1 species